CACGUAGGCUGUUUGGUAAGUCAGGGGUGAAAUCCCGCGGCUCAACCGCGGAAUUGCCCUUGAUACUGCUGGACUCGAGUCCGGGAGAGGGUGGCGGAAUUCCAGGUGUAGGAGUGAAAUCCGUAGAUAUCUGGAGGAACAUCAGUGGCGAAGGCGGCCACCUGGACCGGUACUGACGCUGAGGUGCGAAAGCGUGGGGAGCAAACA
rnacentral:rRNA from 1 species